ensembl:lncRNA
AUGCAGCCUUCCUUUCUCAGUCAUCUCUACUACAGUCAUGAUUAUAAUAAAGCAAACAAAUGGCAGUGGGUAUUUUGGCUACCAACAUCUGUCAUGCACUGCACACAUCUCUUUUCUGCUAUGUUUUCUUUCUUCAGCUGGAUAUGUCAGGAGAAAAACGAGAAAGAUGCCUCUUUAAUACUCUUUGUGAGGCAUAUCGCAGUACCUUGGUUUAGAAACUGUCCAGGAAGUUUACCUUGAAGCCAGAAGAACUGGGUAAUAUCAGAGUAUGUGGAAUACAGUCAACUGACAGCACCAUGUUCUGACAAACACCUGCACCUUGAGAAACAAUACCCAAGCAAGAUGAUGUGAAGAAAAGCAUAUGGGCAGCAUGAAUCAGUGGCAGUAUAUCAGUGGAAUCAAAAGAUUCGACUCUGCACUCUGUUCCCAUUUAUGCCACUAAUUUACUAUGUAGACUUCUCACUCAUUUGCCUUUGAAUUUCAUUUUGAGUUUGGGUUUGUUUGGACUUAGACAAGAACUACAUGAAGAGUGAAUACUGGAUAAGCAUCGAAAGCAGCCCCAUAUAGACCCUGUGUGGAUUUUAUCAUUUUCUCAUAUACGUGAGUUCUCUCACAUUCAUAUGAGGUAUUUCCCUCUUCUUUCUGUCCUUCUGUUCUCUCUGGCUAACAGCCAUCAGCACUCUACUCACCUAGAAAAUCAAGGCAAGACCAAUUUGGCAUAUCAGUUAAUUUAGGUGCUUUAAAUUCCUGCUGGUUAGAAUUAUAAUUUAUGGUAACUUUACAAUCUAUAGGGUGAGAAUCCCAGACUACCGCAUGGCAAGCCAACAUUCUGACAAAUAACAUGGUAAUGCAUGCCCUGCUACCAUAUUUCUAGUGUAAACCACCCUACCCCUUUUCUGGAUCAUCCACUGUCCCAAAAGGACAGAGACCAUGGCAGUUAUAUUUUACAUCCCCAGUAGUCUCAAGGGGUUACACAGGAAUUUGACAUGAAAACAACUGGGGCUGUGAAGCUGAGGAAGUUCAGUUACCGUUUUCAGGACGGAGAUAACAAAGCUGACCAAUUAUUUUUAAAGAGUUCUAUAUUUGCCCCUUCUUCUAAUUGUCAGAAAAGAUGUACUAACCACCCACCAUUAAAAGACCUGGAGGGGAAAAAAAAAUCAUAAUUUGUUGGAGGGAAUAGGUGUGUUAUACACUCACUGGAAACUCUUUUGUGCAGUUAAAAAUAGCUGCAGACAAAAAUAGUUGAUGCUUGGAGUCAUCCAGCUGGAACAUCACACUCAGUGGGGCUUAUACUUAAGUCCCACUUAAGUAUAAGUGGGAAGAAGUCCUCCUCUCAGUGGGUCCCACAGUCAGGCAGAGGGGCUCCUACCUGGCUCGCCAAUUGAAGCCGAGAAAACCAACAAAAAUUUGACACACCAAUGGGUUAUGUCAAGCAGGUAUUCCCUUUAUUACAGCACUGGGUGCAUGGGAGAUUGCUUCACCAACAUGCACACUGAGGGAAACAACGACUACGUAUUUAAAGGCAUAGCAUAUGCAUAUUCAUUAUAUUCCAAGAAAUUUGUUACGUAUGCAUUGGGUUUCUGAGAGUUAGUUAACAUAUUGUCCCAACACUCUGAGCAUGGGUCCUGAAAUGUGGGAAGGGUCUCUGGGCUCCAUCUGGUGGUCGUUGGUUGAAGGUUAGUAGUAAUCUUCAUGAAGGCUUGACAUCUUUCUCACUGUAAACGCCUGACUUUUCAGGGGGGCUCGAACCCAAACUGGCCGCUGCUAGAGUGUUGCUGAGGCAUCUAUUUUGUUUCCUCAUUUUACCUUCAAGAUUCUAUCCUUAACCCUGUAUUUAUCUAAGCGUUCUGAGUUUAUGUUUGUUAAGCCUAUAUUUAAACUAGUGUUCUGAGCAUAUGUCUGUUAAACCUAUGUUUAUACUAGCGUUCUGUCCUUUUAGCUUAUGUCUGCACAAUUUAGGUGAUAACAUUGUUCAUUAUCCCCCAUUCACUAUGUAAGCAAAUAAUGUUUCUGAUGUUGUUUAAAUACUGCAGUACAGUUUUUCAUCCCCUCAAAAUAAGCAUUCUGCUCUUUCUAGAAUUUGAUAACUACCUGCCCAUAGGAAAAUAACCAUCACUGCCAGUGCAAUGAUUUGCUAUGGAUAUGUCAUUUUUGCUGGAAAUAUGCUUGACUAUCUGACUGCCUAAAAGCAGGGAUAGUCUCAGCUGCAUCUAAUUCAGCCCAGUGAUAUAGGCUGGUUCGUUUAGCAAUAGGGAUCAGUAUAUUAGUUUAAGGACCAAUAUAUUAAUUUAGCAAAAGGAAUCAAUGAGUGCUAAUUCUAAAACUUUCCAUUUCAACUUUGCUUGGUGUGUGAACAGUCUUGUUUUCUCUUAAUUCUGCUUCACAAGAAGCACUGGAGUCGUAAUAGACUGUUUAUCUUUACAUUUCACCAGGUGUGAGGACAUUUUCCUCAGAUUUCACAUAUAUUGUUUUGGAAGUUACUCAGGAUGGCCUAACAAGCAAAGGAAAAUUUCCAAAUUGGGGAAAAACAGCUAACAGUCAGCCAAAAGCCUCACCGAUAUAGCUGAUGGUGGAAAAAUGGGGAAAAAGCAAAUGGGCAUACAACCACCCUAACUGUAAUCAUGCAAACUUAGAGGAACAUUAGCAUAUAUUAAUGAGUUCUUGGAAAAGAACAAAUAUGUAUGCCAAUGUACUGCAUAUGUAUGUCUUAACUGUUCAAAUGUAGAAACUGAACUCUGAGAGCGGGCACUUGUUUGUCAAGUUGCCUGGUAUGCAUCAUAGGAAUAAAGGAAUGCCGCUUUCUAAGACCA